GCUUCGUGGACUGAAGUUGCUGGGCUGCUGCUUUUCUUGCCGCUCCCUGGCUCAGGGCCGCUGGUCGACCCGCACCCUCCGAGCUCCCCUUGGCCUCGAUGUUGUCACCUUACAGGCGGCUCUUUGCAGAAGCACGACCUCCUCGCCCCGCUCCUCUUGGUUAUCCCGCGCCCCCCUCGUCUAUCGGCCUCCCACUCCGCAGCGGUCUCCAGGGUUCUCGGAUGGUCGGAGCUAUGGCAUCCGGACAUGCGGCGGGCCGCUGAGCGCCUACUCCUCAUCAGGACCCGGCCCUUGGCGGGCGACGACCCCAAUCCCAGCUGGAAAUUCCACUUUGGCUUCUGACCUCUCCUCGCCUGAUGUUCCUGACGUCGUUCUGGACUUCUUUGAUUGGAUCAACAGUACACCUUUUUCCCAGUGACCUGUGGGGUACUUGAAUGCCCCCGUGAUUGCCCGUGGGAUUUGCAGUCGGGACCUAGAUGCCUGUGCGGCACGAGCCACCUCCUGCAGAGACUCAGCUCUGGCAUUGUAUCAAUGACAUCCUGGUCACUGGACCUGGCCAAGACUCUGUGUCACACACCAUCACAACUGUGAAUGAACACCUCCCUGAGAGGGGAUGGGAAAUUGCCCGCCAUAAGGUACAGGGCACCUCCUAGGUUGUUAAAUUUCUGGGCUAUGUUUGAAACUCAAAAGGGUAAACUAGUCCCGGUUGGGUAAAAGAAAAGCUCCUAGUGCUCCAGCCAACCUCCCAGAUUGGUAAAGGAGGCCCAACAUUUGGUAGGCAUGUUUGCAUUCGGGUGCCAACCUCAAAUAUUUGCUGGCCCCCAUCUAUGGAGUCACCCAUAGGACCUCCACUUUUCCAUGGGGACCUGAGCCACAGCAGGCACUAGAUAAACUAAAGAAGGCUAUCAUUUCAGCUCUCCCACUAGUGCUCUGAGGGCAGGACUUACAAUCGGAAGUUUUGGCCACCCUAACGUUCACUUAUGGGAGCCACAGGACCAAAUGUCUGUGGGCUUUUGGCAUAAGUGACUCCCAGCCUCAGUGCAAAGGUAUUGGCCAGUGAAGAGGCAACUUCAGGAGGUACACUGAGCCCUUCCUGAAACUGAAGGCUUUACUGGAGCAGAGCCAGUUAUCCUGUGGAUGGAGAUUCCUCUUAUAUGCUGGGUCAUAGCAGAAGCUCCCCGUAGAGCAACAAAGGCCUCUACUCAAAUGAUGAUGGGAUCUACUGGAUUGAGCUAAAGCUGGCCCUACUAGAGUGCUACAACUCCAUGAGAAAAUCACCACAUACCCUGCCACUGAAGUUAAUUUACCACAACCUCCCGGCCUUCUAUACAGGCCUUCCAUUAGUAUAUCCAUGCAAGGCACAGGUCUCCCCUCUCCUCAUAUCAUUGAGGGCUUGACAAAAUAGCUUUUACAGCCCUUGGGACUGCUGCACAAGUUACACCGCCAGACCAAAGUUCCCACAUCCCUGUAAAGCAAACCAGCAAUGGGCAUUACAAGAAAACUUUGCUUGGGUUUGUCACCUAUCCUAUCAUCUUCCAGUAGCAGUGAUCAUGGAAAGACAUAAUGGACUUUUAACUCAAGGGCUGUUGAGAGAACUUGGAGGGCAGUGGUCCUUCAAGUGGUCAAAAAUACUGCCCACGGUCCAGAUUAUAUUAAGUUCAUGCCCCUGUGGCAUAACUACACCAUAUUUAAAUUCACAACAAAUGACGAGACCACCAACAGGGACAUUUCUAUCUCUGCUGGUGUACACAUCCACAGCAGACACAACCCAGUUGUCAGUUUUCACUGACAUGGGAGCCCAGGCAUGGCCAUGCACAGAAAAGAAACUUUCACCAGGUACUGUCAUCCUUCCUUUCUCCCUCAUAGACAACCCGGAGCUUAGGCACUUCCUUCUUGAUCCUGAUGAGAACCUGACGUGGACCAGUGAUUCUGAAACCAUCCUUAGCCUGCGUUCAUUCGUCAUUUAGUAUAAGCCAAGCAAACUACCCACCACUUUCUGGAGAAAGAGGUGUCCUUAUCUGCUGUCCAUGUACUUUGCUCCGCUAAAGGCACUGUGGAACACAGGAGGUGGAACGAAACCUCUCCCAGACCAGAAGUAAGAAGACUCAUUUAUCUUACAAAUAAAGGACAUGAUAAAUCAACAAGAAGCACAGGAAAUUAUUCUGAUAAGACA